rnacentral:rRNA from 1 species
UACGUAGGUGACAAGCGUUGUCCGGAUUUACUGGGCGUAAAGAGCGCGCAGGCGGUCGAUCAAGUCGAGUGUGAAAGCCCCCGGCUCAACUGGGGAGGGUCAUUCGAUACUGAUCGACUCGAAGGCAGGAGAGGGUAGUGGAAUUCCCGGUGUAGUGGUGAAAUGCGUAGAUAUCGGGAGGAACACCAGUGGCGAAGGCGACUACCUGGCCUGUUCUUGACGCUGAGGCGCGAAACCUAGGGGAGCAAACGGG